AAUCAACGCUGGCGGCGUGCCUCAGACAUGCAAGUCGAACGCGAAAGUCCCUUCGGGGACAAGUAGAGUGGCGCACGGGUGAGUAACACGUAGGUAAUCUACCUUCGGAUGGGGAAUAACAACCGGAACGGUUGCUAAUACCGCAUAAUGCAGCGGCACCUAAUGGUGACAGUUGUUAAAGCGGGGGAUCGAAAGACCUCGCGUCUGAAGAGGAGCCUGCGGCGGAUUAGCUAGNGGUAAGGUAAUGGCUUACCAAGGCGACGAUCCGUAGCCGGCCUGAGAGGGCGGUCGGCCACACUGACACUGACA
rnacentral:rRNA from 1 species